ACGGACGAAGGCGAUUACCGUAUUAAAUUACGUAAUCUGACCAAUUUCCUUAAUGAGGGGGACAAAGUCAAGGUCACACUUCGUUUUCGCGGUCGAGAAAUGGCUCAUCAGGAAUUUGGCAUCAGGCUACUUGAACGUGUAAGAGAUGAUCUUGAAAUGCAUGCUGUAGUAGAACAAUUUCCAAAAAUGGAAGGACGCCAACUGGUAAUGGUAUUGUCUCCGAAGAAAAAAGAUGCCAAAACUGACAAAGCAAGCCAGGCUGACAAUAACCCGACCACAACCACAUAACUUUUUGUAUUAUUUGUUUAAUCCAUGUUUGUUAAAAAGCAGA
rnacentral:misc_RNA from 1 species